AGCCCAAGGACUGUUACCACAUGUCUUCCAUCUUGCCCACAAUUUUAGCAGAUCAUCAGGAUACUUGCCAACAAGGUCACAGUGGACUCCAUGGAGCAACUGCCCUCAGGAGGCAACAGGUCACAGUGUUUGGACACCGCAUGAACAUGCCAAUUUCCUGUGUUGUAAUAUUUUUAUGCACUUUAAGAAGACCACCAGAAACAGCAGAGUGAGUGAAUGACUGAGGCGCAUAUUGGACAAAAAUCACUUAUCCAAGACCACGUUACUACAACCCCAGGGCACAGAAGCUAAGUCUUCCUAUUGUACUGAACUCAGUUGACUGGAAUUUGUUCAGGAAAGCAUGAAGUCAAAUGGAAGCUAGUCCGUGACUGGAUUCAUCUUUUGGUAAAAAACGAAGAGGAGACCCCAUAUCCUGGAGGUUCUUGCUUAACCCUGUCCCUAAUAAGACCUAACUUUAUGAGUCUUCUCCUUAGAGGCAGUCCUAGGGUAAGAGUGAUUAUUCCUGUGAGCCUUGUAGGUACUUUCGAAUCAAGGAAAUUAGUAGUUGAUUGCUAAUUAAU
rnacentral:lncRNA from 1 species